rnacentral:rRNA from 1 species
GGGAAACCGGAGCUAAUACCGGAUAGUUCCUUGAACCGCAUGGUUCAAGGAUGAAAGACGGUUUCGGCUGUCACUUACAGAUGGACCCGCGGCGCAUUAGCUAGUUGGUGGGGUAAUGGCUCACCAAGGCGACGAUGCGUAGCCGACCUGAGAGGGUGAUCGGCCACACUGGGAYUGAGACACGGCCCAGACUCCUACGGGAGGCAGCAGUAGGGAAUCUUCCGCAAUGGACGAAAGUCUGACGGAGCAACGCCGCGUGAGUGAUGAAGGUUUUCGGAUCGUAAAGCUCUGUUGUUAGGGAAGAACAAGUGCGAGAGUAACUGCUCGCACCUUGACGGUACCUAACCAGAAAGCCACGGCUAACUACGUGCCAGCAGCCGCGGUAAUACGUAGGUGGCAAGCGUUGUCCGGAAUUAUUGGGCGUAAAGGGCUCGCAGGCGGUUUCUUAAGUCUGAUGUGAAAGCCCCCGGCUCAACCGGGGAGGGUCAUUGGAAACUGGGAAACUUGAGUGCAGAAGAGGAGAGUGGAAUUCCACGUGUAGCGGUGAAAUGCGUAGAGAUGUGGAGGAACACCAGUGGCGAAGGCGACUCUCUGGUCUGUAACUGACGCUGAGGAGCGAAAGCGUGGGGAGCGAACAGGAUUAGAUACCCUGGUAGUCCACGCCGUAAACGAUGAGUGCUAAGUGUUAGGGGGUUUCCGCCCCUUAGUGCUGCAGCUAACGCAUUAAGCACUCCGCCUGGGGAGUACGGUCGCAAGACUGAAACUCAAAGGAAUUGACGGGGGCCCGCACAAGCGGUGGAGCAUGUGGUUUAAUUCGAAGCAACGCGAAGAACCUUACCAGGUCUUGACAUCCUCUGACAACCCUAGAGAUAGGGCUUUCCCUUCGGGGACAGAGUGACAGGUGGUGCAUGGUUGUCGUCAGCUCGUGUCGUGAGAUGUUGGGUUAAGUCCCGCAACGAGCGCAACCCUUGAUCUUAGUUGCCAGCAUUUAGUUGGG